rnacentral:miRNA from 1 species
CUUGGAGAGGGGAGCCGGGAGAGCCAAUGGCAAGGCUGCCAGAGGCAGAGGGGAGGGUGCGGUGGGCGCGGGGCGGAGCGGGGCGGGGCGGGGAGCUGUCCGC